AUGCAAGUCGAGCGAUGAUGUUUCUUCGGAAAUGGAUUAGCGGCGAACGGGUGAGGAACACGUGAAGAAUCUGCCCUCCACUUUGGGAUAACACCGGGAAACCGGUGCUAAUACCGAAUAUUGAAACAUAAGUGGCAUCACUGAGUUUUGAAAGAAUUUCGGUGGAGGAUGACUUCGCGGCCUAUCAGCUAGUUGGUGAGGUAAUGGCUCACCAAGGCAACGACGGGUAGCCGGCCUGAGAGGGCGACCGGCCACACUGGGACUGAGACACGGCCCAGACUCCUACGGGAGGCAGCAGUGGGGAAUAUUGGGCAAUGGAGGAAACUCUGACCCAGCGACGCCGCGUGCGGGAUGAAGGCCUUCGGGUUGUAAACCGCUUUCAGUAGGGAAGAAGCGAAAGUGACGGUACCUACAAAAGAAGCACCGGCUAACUAUGUGCCAGCAGCCGCGGUAAUACAUAGGGUGCAAGCGUUGUCCGGAAUUAUUGGGCGUAAAGAGCUCGUAGGUCGUUUGUUACGUCGGAUGUGAAAACCUGAGGCUCAACCUCAGGCCUGCAUUCGAUACGGGCAAACUAGAGUUUGGUAGGGGAGACUGGAAUUCCUGGUGUAGCGGUGGAAUGCGCAGAUAUCAGGAGGAACACCAAUGGCGAAGGCAGGUCUCUGGGCCAAUACUGACACUGAGGAGCGAAAGUCUGGGGAGCGAACAGGAUUAGAUACCCUGGUAGUCCAGACCGUAAACGGUGGGCACUAGUUGUGGGAACCUUCCACGGUUUCUGCGACGCAGCUAACGCAUUAAGUGCCCCGCCUGGGGAGUACGAUCGCAAGAUUAAAACUCAAAGGAAUUGACGG
rnacentral:rRNA from 1 species